rnacentral:rRNA from 1 species
GACGAACGCUGGCGGCGUGCUUAACACAUGCAAGUCGAACGUGUGGCGAACGGGUGAGUAAUACGUGAGUACCCUGCCCUCUCUUCGGGAUAAGCCUUGGAAACGGGGCCUACUACCGAAUAAUGGGGGUUGGGCUCGCGGCCUAUCAGCUGGUUGGUGGGGUGAUGGCCUACCAAAGCGGUGACAGGUAGCCGGCCUGAGUGGGUGAACGGCCGAAUUGGGACUGAGAGACGACCCAGACGUCUACGAGAGGCAGCAGUAGGGGAUAUUGCACAAUGGGCGGAAGCCGGAUGCAGCGACGCCGCGUGGGGGAUAGAGGCUUUCGGGUUGUAAACCUCUUUCGCUAUCGAACGGGUAGGUGGAAAAAAAGCGCCGGCUAACUACGUGCCAGCAGCCGCGGUAAUUC